AUAAGCACUUAUGAUCCUAGACCAAGGUCAAUCAUGGUCCUGUAUCAUAAGCAAUUAUGAUCCUAGACCAAGGUCAAUCAUGUCCAUGUACCAUAAGCAAUUAUGAUCCUAGACCAAGGUCAAUCAUGGUCCUGUACCAUAAGCAAUUAUGAUAAGCAUGGUCAAUACUUUUUUAAACCAUGGCAAUUUACACUCCUUAUUUAUUGCUAAUGAUGGAACUUAAACAUGGCUGAUCAUAGUCUUAAAACAUGGUCAAUCAUGAUUCUGAACCAUGGUCAAUCAUUGUCCUUAACAAUGAUCAUUCAAGGUCCUUAACCAUGGCUGAUCUCUUGAAAUUAUUAAUGUAUUUAUUAGAUAUGUAAUUAUGUUACAAAUACAUCAAUUACCUAACUCAAUUAAUAUUAUUUUAUAACAGUAAAUCAUCAUAACAGGGGUUUAGCUAAGGAAGAACAGCAGGAAGCUUCCUUCUAUUUCUAUGCCCCAACUGUCAAUGUUGGCAUGUGACAAUGUUCUGGUAAAUACAGAAACACCUCACAUAUUUUUAUUGGCAAUUGAAAAUUUAAUUUAAUUUAAUCGACUAACAUAGUUUUACUCGAAAUUAACAUCAAAUUAUUUUUCAUAAAGAGCAUACCUCAUGGAUAUAUGAUGAAUGGAUGCUUGAGUAUAAGUACUUAUAAGGAAACAGCAUCAUUAGGCCACAACAAAUUGAUGAUUUGUUCUACAGAUUUUUGCUUCCCAAAAAUGGAGCGAGCGAGCGAAAUAAAAAGAAAUUUAUUUUUAUUAUCUUUUUUGUUAAAUAACAGGCGUGCGAAAAGCGAAAAAUAACAAAUACAUAUAUUGUCUAUGUAAAUUGAUAUAUUUUGCCAAAUAAAUGCAUGAUAUCUGCAAAAUACCAGUACAAAGUCAUUUAGAAGUAAUAAUUGAGUUUAAGUUUCAAAUGUUUGUAAAAAUAAAUAAAAAAAAGUCUCUAAUAGCUGUUCUGCUUUCUCACACCAGUUAGUGAUUACUUAAGUAUAAAAUGGUACAUGGUUUUCAUUAUCAAAGUUAUAUAAGGAGCUCAGUUUUCUGUCAAUGAUGGUUUAAUAACAUGACACAAUAAACAAUACAAUAAAUAUCAAGCAUAAGCAGUGAUUUUUCUUCGCGUCAUAUUUUACAGCCUGUGCCUUUUUAAUUGGGGAUAAUAUGGGAUACACCAUGAAAUUGGGAAUAUUGAAUCAUUAUUAUUAUGAUUAUUGAUAACAGUAUACCAAUUGUUAAUAAGUGCAUGUUUAACUGCUUUCUAAAAUGUAUAUUAUAAAGUGCUAGGGCAUUUAACUGCUGUAUGAGAAACUCAAUAAACCAAUUU